UAGGGAAUCUUCGGCAAUGGACGAAAGUCUGACCGAGCAACGCCGCGUGAGUGAAGAAGGUUUUCGGAUCGUAAAACUCUGUUGUUAGAGAAGAACAAGGAUGAGAGUAACUGUUCAUCCCUUGACGGUAUCUAACCAGAAAGCCACGGCUAACUACGUGCCAGCAGCCGCGGUAAUACGUAGGUGGCAAGCGUUGUCCGGAUUUAUUGGGCGUAAAGCGAGCGCAGGCGGUUUCUUAAGUCUGAUGUGAAAGCCCCCGGCUCAACCGGGGAGGGUCAUUGGGAACUGGGAGACUUGAGUGCAGAAGAGGAGAGUGGAAUUCCAUGUGUAGCGGUGAAAUGCGUAGAUAUAUGGAGGAACACCAGUGGCGAAGGCGGCUCUCUGGUCUGUAACUGACGCUGAGGCUCGAAAGCGUGGGGAGCAAACAGGAUUAGAUACCCUGGUAGUCCACGCCGUAAACGAUGAGUGCUAAGUGUUGGAGGGUUUCCGCCCUUCAGUGCUGCAGCUAACGCAUUAAGCACUCCGCCUGGGGAGUACGACCGCAAGGUUG
rnacentral:rRNA from 1 species